rnacentral:rRNA from 1 species
UACAGAGGGGGCAAGCGUUGUUCGGAAUUACUGGGCGUAAAGCGUGCGCAGGCGGUUUUGUAAGUUUGUCGUGAAAGCCCCGGGCUCAACCUGGGAAUUGCGAUGAAGACUGCAAGGCUUGAAUCUGGCAGAGGGGGGUAGAAUUCCACGUGUAGCAGUGAAAUGCGCAGAUAUCAGGAGGAACACCGAUGGCGAAGGCAGCUCGCUGGGACGUGACUGACGCUGAGACGCGAAAGCGUGGGGAGCAAACAGGAU